UACGAAGGGGGCUAGCGUUGCUCGGAAUCACUGGGCGUAAAGGGCGCGUAGGCGGAUCUUUAAGUCGGGGGUGAAAGCCCAGGGCUCAACCCUGGAAUUGCCUUCGAUACUGAAGAUCUCGAGACCGGAAGAGGUAAGUGGAACUGCGAGUGUAGAGGUGAAAUUCGUAGAUAUUCGCAAGAACACCAGUGGCCGAAGGCGGCUUACUGGUCCGGUUCUGACGCUGAGGCGCGAAAGCGUGGGGAGCAAACAGG
rnacentral:rRNA from 1 species